rnacentral:rRNA from 1 species
UGACUGGGGCGGUCUCCUCCUAAAGAGUAACGGAGGAGCACGAAGGUUGGCUAAUCCUGGUCGGACAUCAGGAGGUUAGUGCAAUGGCAUAAGCCAGCUUGACUGCGAGCGUGACGGCGCGAGCAGGUGCGAAAGCAGGUCAUAGUGAUCCGGUGGUUCUGAAUGGAAGGGCCAUCGCUCAACGGAUAAAAGGUACUCCGGGGAUAACAGGCUGAUACCGCCCAAGAGUUCAUAUCGACGGCGGUGUUUGGCACCUCGAUGUCGGCUCAUCACAUCCUGGGGCUGAAGUAGGUCCCAAGGGUAUGGCUGUUCGCCAUUUAAAGUGGUACGCGAGCUGGGUUUAGAACGUCGUGAGACAGUUCGGUCCCUAUCUGCCGUGGGCGCUGGAGAACUGAGGGGGGCUGCUCCUAGUACGAGAGGACCGGAGUGGACGCAUCACUGGUGUUCGGGUUGUCAUGCCAAUGGCACUGCCCGGUAGCUAAAUGCGGAAGAGAUAAGUGCUGAAAGCAUCUAAGCACGAAACUUGCCCCGAGAUGAGUUCUCCCUGAGACUUUAAGUCUCCUGAAGGAACGUUGAAGACGACGACGUUGAUAGGCCGGGUGUGUAAGCGCAGCGAUGCGUUGAGCUAACCGGUACUAAUGAACCGUGAGGCUUAACCUUACAACGCCGAAG